GGUGAAAAGCACCCCGGAAGGGGAGUGAAAUAGAACCUGAAACCGUGUGCUUACAAGUAGUCAGAGCCCGUUAAUGGGUGAUGGCGUGCCUUUUGUAGAAUGAACCGGCGAGUUACGAUUUGAUGCAAGGUUAAGCAGUAAAUGUGGAGCCGUAGCGAAAGCGAGUCUGAAUAGGGCGUUUAGUAUUUGGUCGUAGACCCGAAACCAGGUGAUCUACCCUUGGUCAGGUUGAAGUUCAGGUAACACUGAAUGGAGGACCGAACCGACUUACGUUGAAAAGUGAGCGGAUGAACUGAGGGUAGCGGAGAAAUUCCAAUCGAACCUGGAGAUAGCUGGUUCUCUCCGAAAUAGCUUUAGGGCUAGCCUCAAGUGAUGAUUAUUGGAGGUAGAGCACUGUUUGGACGAGGGGCCCCUCUCGGGUUACCGAAUUCAGACAAACUCCGAAUGCCAAUUAAUUUAACUUGGGAGUCAGAACAUGGGUGAUAAGGUCCGUGUUCGAAAGGGAAACAGCCCAGACCACCAGCUAAGGUCCCAAAAUAUAUGUUAAGUGGAAAAGGAUGUGGCGUUGCCCAGACAACUAGGAUGUUGGCUUAGAAGCAGCCAUCAUUUAAAGAGUGCGUAAUAGCUCACUAGUCGAGUGACACUGCGCCGAAAAUGUACCGGGGCUAAA
rnacentral:rRNA from 1 species